GGGGGGAGCUAUACAUGCAGUCGAGCGAAUGGAUUAAGAGCUUGCUCUUAUGAAGUUAGCGGCGGACGGGUGAGUAACACGUGGGUAACCUGCCCAUAAGACUGGGAUAACUCCGGGAAACCGGGGCUAAUACCGGAUAACAUUUUGAACCGCAUGGUUCGAAAUUGAAAGGCGGCUUCGGCUGUCACUUAUGGAUGGACCCGCGUCGCAUUAGCUAGUUGGUGAGGUAACGGCUCACCAAGGCAACGAUGCGUAGCCGACCUGAGAGGGUGAUCGGCCACACUGGGACUGAGACACGGCCCAGACUCCUACGGGAGGCAGCAGUAGGGAAUCUUCCGCAAUGGACGAAAGUCUGACGGAGCAACGCCGCGUGAGUGAUGAAGGCUUUCGGGUCGUAAAACUCUGUUGUUAGGGAAGAACAAGUGCUAGUUGAAUAAGCUGGCACCUUGACGGUACCUAACCAGAAAGCCACGGCUAACUACGUGCCAGCAGCCGCGGUAAUACGUAGGUGGCAAGCGUUAUCCGGAAUUAUGGGCGUAAAGCGCGCGCAGGUGGUUUCUUAAGUCUGAUGUGAAAGCCCACGGCUCACCCGUGGAGGGUCAUUGGAAACUGGGAGACUUGAGUGCAGAAGAGGAAGUGGAAUUCCAUGUGUACGAAAAGGGGGGGGAAAAAAAAA
rnacentral:rRNA from 1 species